CAACAAUGAAAUAAAUUGAUUUUUUAAUUCUUUUUCAUAUUCAAGUUCAUCACGUAAAGCAAGUUCUGCAAUGAGAGUUUCACUAAGCGCUCCCACCAAGGAUUCCAUUUCUCCAAGUAACUCAUUAAGCUGGCUGGAGUGGAGAGCCUAAAACUUCUCUGCUUCUCUCCAACGCUUCGUCGCUAUCUAAUAAAGAUCCAUCAGAAUCUGGUGAUCUUUCCAUGGAUGGACUUUCCUACACAAGAUAAAUUUUCUUUUUUUCGCGUAAAUUUCUAUCUAGUUUUUGAAAAAUUUGAUUUUUACCUGCAUUAUAUCAUCUAUUUCACGGAGUACUUCUUCGGCAGUUUUCAACGGUUCCUCUGGACUAUGGGUAUCGGUGCUACUGGACAAGAUCAAAGCAUGCAUGUCCAAAUCAGUUGCAACAGCCUCAUCUUCGCUACUUAAAUCCUCUAGUUCAGGUCUAUAGCAAAUAAAAUGAAAGCGUCUAAUUUGCAAAUCGUGCUUUACAUAUACUUUCAAAAUAUAUUAAAAUGCUUCUUACUAUUUUAAAAUAUGUAUGUUUUUUUGCUGAAAAAAAGCUGCAAAAUAAAACUGAAGAAGACUAUAAAAAA